rnacentral:misc_RNA from 1 species
AAGAUUCUUCCUCAGGCCGUGAUUUCUAUUCCAAGAAAGCCCAAUCAUUGUGCGCCGAGAAGGUUAGGGUUUUGUUCCGCAGUUUCUGUUACUCGUGUUUCGUUUUCUACUCUUUCCUCCAGCUCAAUUGGCUGCCAUUUUCACCACACCGUUGCGGCGCCGUUGAGACGAGCGUUUGUUGUGAGAGCUGAGGCGAGUUCCGAGGCGGAGUCGGCGGUUGAAGAAGCUUCUGAAGCUGAAGUAGAAGCAGUAGUGGAGUCUGAUGCUCAGCCUGAGGAGGAGAAGGCGCCGAGAAAGCCUCGUGUUAAGCUCGGAGAUGUAAUGGGGGUAAUUGUUCUAUCCAUUCAUCCCAUUAAGGAACACAAACUUUUUUGCAGUUCUGAAUUAAGGAGCAAGUGGAGUUCUGUACUGGUUGUUUCGAAU